GGGAGCAACAAAAACUCCAUUGUUCGGCUCUCCUCCUCGAUCCCCUCACCAGAGGGAUCUCUCCUCUUCUCCCCUCUUCGUCGCCGCCUGCCGGCGCGGCGCCGUGGCCCCCCUUUGGCUGCUGAGCUGAGAGUUCUUGAUUUGGUUUGGAGCCGUGGGCGGCUUCCUCGCGCCGAGAGAGAUUGAUCAUGGGCUCGAGGAGCUUCGUCCGAUCCCCGGUAUCCUGCAGUGCUGUAAAUGAAUUCUUUACCUGCAGUUCACACUGUUCAAGAAACUACUAUCAGUGUUCUAAUACCAUGAAGUCACAAAGAGCGCAAGUUGGCCAGACGCUUUUGCCUCGCAAAUUAAGGAAAUCGACUCGGUGGCAGACAGCUCUUUUCACCCAGAGGCGGAUUGUAUCAAACUGUUGCUCUGAUCUUAGUACCACUUACACAGAGGAAGUGCCAAACUAUUUAGCACUUAAUGUUUUGCAAGACCAAUCUAAUACCGGACAAGAUAAUAUUCGUAAAGUACUUGUCAUCUUGAAUCCUAAUUCUGGAUUCCGUAGCUCUCGUGCGGUUUUCUACAAGAAAGUGCAAUCAACACUGAAGCUUUCAGGCUUCACGAUGAAAGUUGUUGAAACAGCCUAUGCUGGUCAUGCAAAGGUCCUUGCUUCUACUGUUGACCUCAGCACAUGCCCUGAUGGUAUUAUAUGUGUCGGGGGCGAUGGAGUUGUAAAUGAGGUUUUGAAUGGUUUACUUGGUAGAGAUGAUCUAAAAGAGGCGCUUCAACUGCCCAUUGGGAUUGUUCCUGCUGGUUCUGAUAAUUCAUUAGUGUGGACUGUCCUUGGCAUCAGAGAUCCUGUGUCUGCAGCAACUGCUUUAGCUAAGGGUGGUUUCACACCAAUUGAUGUGUUUGCUGUAAAAUGGAUCCAAGCAGGAGUUACUCAUUUUGGUUUGACAGCUUCUUUUUGUGGUUUCGUAGCUGAUGUGCUGCAGCUAUCUGAAAACUUCCGCCUGCAGCUUGGGCCCUUCCGCUACGUCAUUGCUGGUCUUCUUAAGUUCCUGUCCUUACCCCAAUACAGAUUUGAGGUGGAUUAUCUGCCUUCACCAGGGAGAAAUCCUGAACUGAAGUCACCAACUCAAAACUGCUGUGACCAGCUUUCUGAUGGUAGCAAGGUUAAGAGGGGUAGCACCGAAGAUAAUUGGGUUAUGAGGAAAGGGGAAUUUCUUGGCAUUUUGGUCUGCAACCACUUCUGCAAGCCUGCCCAGGGGUUACUUUCUCCAGUUAUGGCGCCAAAAGCUCAGCACGAUGAUGGGAGUCUGGACUUGAUUCUUAUCCAUGGAAGUGGCAGACUCAGAUUAUUUUGCUUCUUUGUUGCCUAUCAGUUUUGCUGGCAUCUUCUACUCCCUUUUGUGGAAUAUGUCAAGGUAAAACAAGUAAAGAUUAGGCCAGUUGGUGGUACCCACAAUGGUUGUGGUGUCGACGGUGAGCUUCUUCAGGGGGAGGGCCAAGCGGAAUGGCAGUGCUCUCUGCUCCCAGCACAAGUUCCUUCUCGACGACGCGGUGCUAUGGAUGUCUCACUAUUGGCCUAUCGCUGCUUUAUCGCCUUCUAUUCACAUCUGCAAUAUCUUCCAUGUAAACAGGUAAAGAUUAGGCCAGUCGGCAACACCCACAAUGGUUGUGGUGUCGAUGACGAGCUUCUUCAAGCAGAGACCAAGUGGAAUAGGACUAUAGGAGGAAGCGGAGAAUCGAUGCACUGUCAAAUGUUUCUCCGACCAACAUUUUGACCCACCUUUUAUCAGGAACGCCACCGAUCACAUGGUGUUUUCAGGGAGCCGGAAGCACUGAAGUAACUCAAAGUAAUUCAGCAAGUAGCCUGCACAAUGCAAGUAGAGAACGUUGCAAUUAGUGUCGGAGCAAGAAACAAAGUUCCAAAGUCACUCAACCCCUUCAAUCCAUCAGCUAUCAGCUACAAGAGAGGUCAAAACUGAAAAUAUAAGUUGGUUCACUCCAGCAUCUCAAGCAAUGCACCACAAGGGCAUGAAGUUGGGAGAGAAUCAAUUAGGCUCCUUUUUGGGAGCGAUUCAUCCUUCCAACACACAUCUCCUCAGUCAAGGGUCUUCCGAGACGCUUACCAUUCCAAGUGAGUCAGAAGGAAUCCGGUUAUACCUGAUCUAACUUCUGAGCAAACCUGUUUUGUUAUUUCAGUUCAUUGCCAGCAACUCUGGAGUGCUAAUCACCAUUCAAAAAAUAAUAGUGUGGUAAACCAAAAUAUCUCCACGGUUGGAACCGGUAAUGAUUUCUGUUUGCAAUCCAUAAAUUCCAGCCAAACACGGCAUGGGUCAUGACUUAUGAUCAAUGGUCCAAUCACAAGAGUUGUGCAACAACGUAAACAUCUUAUAAAGACAUACCAAGAAAAUUUUGCUAGUACAUCUUACAAUCCUAAGUUUAUCUCGCCCACUUGACAUUUAUUAUUCUAAAAACACUAGGAUAACCUUGCCAGUUCUGAACAUCUUACAAUCCUAACUUUAUCCUUUUUUUCCCUGGCCCACUUGAUUUUUGUUAUUCUAAAAAAUAUAUCUUGGACCUGUACCUUGUUGUUUUUGUGCUCCUGAAACUAAUUGCACCUCAUGCUCCACUCAAUCUAUUGCUUGCAUAGUAGAUUGCCGAGUUAAGAAAUUACCUGUAUUGACCUAAGACGACACUCGGUUUCGCAACCAUUGUUUGCAGGUAAAAGAAGUAAAGAUUAGGGUAGUCGGCAAUACCUACAGUGGUUGUGGUGUCGGCGACGAGCUUAUUCAGACGGAGGGUCAAGUGGAAUAGCAGCGCUCUCUGCUCCCACAUGAAGCCGGUUACUUGGACGGCAUCCCAGAACUUAGAAGUAGGUUUUGAAUUGAACUCACCCACCAGUCAUAUGUUUUCGUUCCAAACAAUGUUGCAUUGUGCCAAUGUACCCAUUAAAUUCAGUGUGAAGCAGAGAAUCGAUGCGCUGUAAAAUGUUUCUUCUGCAAAUCAUUUUUGACACACUAUUUGUCAGGCUGUAAAUCAGAGGGUAUUUCCAGGU